rnacentral:rRNA from 1 species
CCUACGGGGGGCUGCAGUGGGGAAUAUUGGGCAAUGGAGGAAACUCUGACCCAGCAAUGCCGCGUGAAUGAAGACGGCUCUAUGAGUUGUAAACUGCUUUUGUACGAGGGUAAAUCCCGAUACGUGUAUCGGGUUGAAAGUAUCGUACGAAUAAGGAUCGGCUAACUCCGUGCCAGCAGCCGCGGUAAUACGGAGGAUUCAAGCGUUAUCCGGAUUUAUUGGGUUUAAAGGGUGCGUAGGCGGUUCGAUAAGUUAGAGGUGAAAUCCCGGGGCUCAACUCCGGCACUGCCUCUGAUACUGUCGGGCUAGAGUUUAGUUGCGGUAGGCGGAAUGUAUGGUGUAGCGGUAAAAUGCAUAGAGAUCAUACAGAACACCGAUUGCGAAGGCAGCUUACCAAGCUACGACUGACGUUGAGGCACGAAAGCGUGGGGAGCAAACAGGAUUAGAUACCCGGGUAGUC